ensembl:lncRNA
GGUUUAGGAAAAGCUAUUAGGGACGAGGCUGGACUGGGACAUCUGUCCACUUGGGAGAAACAGGGCUGCCCUGUGGGGAACCCUAUGUCCCGUGGCUGCUCUGCCCUAGGGUUAGGGUGCUGUGUUGUGGGAGGGUACUAAGUGGCCCUGGCUCCAGGGCUAAGAGGGCCUCUCCUUCUCUUGGUUCCGGGAGCCGUGACUUCACUGUGUGCUACCAGCUGUGGUGAGCAGUAGGGAGAGUCCAGUCCAGUCCUGAGUGCAACCCCCAGAUGGUUGAUCCCGGAGGCCAGGUGCACGAUGGAUGUCUGUAGUUACCAGAGCCUGGCAUUUGGGGGCUCUUGAAUGCAACUCACUAAGGUGAUACUGGAAAGUCUCUCGAGUGCCUUGAGGUUGGUUGUUGGGCAUCUGAGGAGGAGCGCUCAGCCUUAGGAGCAGACAGUCUGGCCUCUGCAGACAUCCUCUGUUCACCCAGGAAGGGGCUGGGCCACCACACUGCAUCCUUCUGCCUGGCCGUCCCCUCCGCCCCUCCUCCACCUUAUAUAAUGGCACAUUAUACAACAUUGCAAAGCAGGUGGUAUUUUUAAAGACAGCAAGUGAGCAUUUUUUUGGCCUAAAUUUGGGAAUGAAACAGAUGGAUUUUUAAGACUCUGAGCUUUUCCUAUGAAUAGUAACCCUUGUUCUCCUCUGCUUUUAAACACCAGUUUCAAGACCACCUCUAGCAACCAAUCAGCACUCUAUUUAAUUAUAACAAAAUUCUUAGCUCUGUCUGCUGCUGCUCGGACAAGUGGGGGGCACUGGAUCAAUUUCUGGAGCCAGGCAGACUUGCCAACAACAAUUUUCUUUUUCCCAGAGGGCCUCGGAGGCCGGCAGCAGGUUCCAAGCCCUUCCUCUCCUGCCCGCUCGGCGUGGGCUCCUUGACAGCGAGUUUGAAAAGGGUUACAGAGAGGCAGAUAAAUGCCCGGCUUGUUGCAGCCUUCCUGACAGCGCCGACCCCCGCGCCAGUGAGCUCAUGCCCGCCUCAUUACGCGUGGUGCCAGAUUUUUUCCAUUAACAGGUAAUUGAGUAGAAACUAAAAUAAGCGAAGUUUGUUCAUCCCUUGGAUUUUCUUGCCGGGGUUUGAAAGAAAAACACUUUAGCUUCGUUAGUGGAGGAGUGUCCUUGAAAACGUAUUUAUGUUUUCCAAGUGAUUUGUCGCUUGGUAGGUGUAAUGAGCCCGUUCCCCUGGCCUCUCCCUUCUUGUUUUUCUUCUUUAAGGGCCAUGAUGUUCAGAGAAUAGGAGCUGGUUUCCUGGGCCCCUGGCUGUCUGUAUGCUCUGUUCAUGGUAGAGAGCUUAUUUUUCUCUCUUCUCUCUCCCUAUUGCACUCGCAUGGUGUGCGUGCACACACACCCUGGAAAAUCACCCAUAGAAGCCUGUUGAUGGAUCACACAGUCUUAGCCUGCAACCUACAGGGCCCAGCUGUCAGGUGCCCUCAGGACGACUGGCCCCGCCCCCAGGGGCCCCAGGCUGGCCCCGCCCCCAAGCGUCCCAGGCCAGCCCCGCCCCCGUCUCCGUGCCCUGCGCCUGCGCGCAGGUGCUCCAGGUGGAUGGCCUGCCCCUCUGAGGGGCAUUCAGAAGCAAAGCGAGAUGUGUGAGCCCUGAGGUCUCCAGUCUUCCUGUUUCCCAUCUUGCUGGGCUCCUAUCUCAGCUGGUCUGUUUUCAGCUUCAUGAAGAAGAUUCCUCAUCACUGCCCAGCCCCAAGUUCUCCGUUAGGGUUGGAGCUUCGGAUGAGAUGUGUGUGUGUGUUUGGUACUUGAAAUACAGAGAAAGAGAGAUUGUUCACCCCUCUACACACCUGACAUAGAGGUCUUUGUGAAGGAAAGACAGCUCCAGAAACUUGCGACUUUCGGCUUGAAAACUUAGCUUGCAAGCCUUAGUUCAUUGGGAAUCUCAACUAUUUCUUUCCUCCUGGCACUUGUCUCCUGGUCUCAGCGGUUGACACAUUUCCAAGGACCAAUUGAUUUCAUCUGCUUCUAAGAAACUAGGUCUCCUGCAGGGCGAGGUGGGGGCAGCCGUCAAGUGGAAUUAAGACACUGAGCCUGUUUCCGGGAAGCCCAGUGAGAUGGAAAUGCUUGGGCCAGCGACGGACACGUGGAGUCUGUUCCAUGAACACGGGUUGUCAUUACUGCUCCUGUUGCCCUGUGCUGUCUGGGGCAGGAGAGAGAAGGACCCUGACCAAGGGCAGUGUUCUAGGACGAGAAGACCAUGGCCCACAUGAUAUGCUUUUGGAAGGCCGCAAGACUCAAAUUUGCACAGUGCCCCCAAGGCCUAGACCCGUGCCAUGGAAUUGUUCAGGGUGGCCCUGAAGACAUUUCAGUCUCCCCAGACCCCUGUUCAAGCGCAGACACCCCAGGGGAGGGCUGAUGGCUUCAGCCCUCUCAGCUGAGGCCCAGAGAGAGAGAGGCCUUGGGAGGACACAGGUGGGCUCAAGGGCAGGUGAUGUCCCCAGAGCCUGAAACUUGGCCUCUGGCCCCCAUUCCUGAGCCCAGCAUGCAGAUCCACUUUUUUGGCCUUGAAUUAUCCUGGCUAAAGGCAGACAUUGGAAAAGAUUAUUUAUAAAAAGGUCUUGGAACGAGAAAUGAUUUCUAUUUUGCUAAUGCGAUAUUUUUGAGUGAGAAACAGAAAAGAGGGGAUGAAUGGGUGAGGGAGUGAAUGAAGGGCAAGAAACUCAGAAGCUCUUGUAGAUUCAUACAGUUUGUCUUCAAAUCCACCCACCAUUCCAUCUCCUCUUCCUCUUGUUUCAG